CCUACGGGAGGCUGCAGUGGGGAAUAUUGGACAAUGGGGGGAACCCUGAUCCAGCCAUGCCGCGUGUGUGAAGAAGGCCCUCGGGUUGUAAAGCACUUUCAGUGAGGAAGAACGCCUGGUGGUUAAUACCCAUCAGGAAAGACAUCACUCACAGAAGAAGCACCGGCUAACUCCGUGCCAGCAGCCGCGGUAAUACGGAGGGUGCGAGCGGUAAUCGGAAUUACUGGGCGUAAAGCGCGCGUAGGUGGCUUGAUAAGCCGGUUGUGAAAGCCCCGGGCUCAACCUGGGAACGGCAUCCGGAACUGUCAAGCUAGAGUGCAGGAGAGGAAGGUAGAAUUCCCGGUGUAGCGGUGAAAUGCGUAGAGAUCGGGAGGAAUACCAGUGGCGAAGGCGGCCUUCUGGACUGACACUGACACUGAGGUGCGAAAGCGUGGGUAGCAAACAGGAUUAGAUACCCUGGUAGUC
rnacentral:rRNA from 1 species